ensembl:snoRNA
AUCCUCCUAUAGUUCCUCAAUGUGAUGACUGGGUGUUCACACUCAUCGGCAAGAUGUGCCUCCCUCAAACCUUGUUAAGAUGCUA